rnacentral:rRNA from 1 species
AGUGAACGCUGGCGGCAGGCCUAACACAUGCAAGUCGAACGGCAGCACAGCAGUAGCAAUACUGUGGGUGGCGAGUGGCGGACGGGUGAGGAAUACAUCGGAAUCUACCUUGUCGUGGGGGAUAACGUAGGGAAACUUACGCUAAUACCGCAUACGAACUAUGGUUGAAAGCGGCGGACCGCAAGGCGUCGCGCGAUUGGAUGAGCCGAUGUCCGAUUAGCUAGUUGGCGGGUAAAGGCCCACCAAGGCGACGAUCGGUAGCUGGUCUGAGAGGAUGAUCAGCCACACUGGAACUGAGACACGGUCCAGACUCCUACGGGAGGCAGCAGUGGGGAAUAUUGGACAAUGGGCGCAAGCCUGAUCCAGCCAUGCCGCGUGUGUGAAGAAGGCC